UUUCUAUAGGAAAGUAGCAAUCCAUUGGUUU
rnacentral:tRNA from 1 species